rnacentral:lncRNA from 1 species
AGAAAAGUAAUGCCAUAUUUUUCAUAUUGAAAUUCACAACCAAUUUUUUAUAUAAACACACCUCAAAGUAUUUUACCAUACUAUUCAUAAAGGUCUAGUUUCAUACUCAACCACCUACAAACAGGGUUCACAAAGAGGAUGGGAUCAUAGUCUUCAUCCAUGUCGUACUCGGAUCAUCAUCGAGGUUCUCCUCCAGGUACUCCUCUUUUGGUUCUUUCUCCUCAAGCUCCUCAUCAAGGUCCUGAAAUGUUGUCCCACAACCAGGAUGAGACUACGUCUCAGCAAGUUCCACCCCCUAAGACUCGAUUAGUAAACCAAUAUGCUAUCUGGGCUGCCUAUGCACGCACGGGUCAGAGGACUUACCUUGGCCUUGGAUUCCACCUGCAUAUUAACAUAGUUCAAUAGGCACCAAAGCAAUCACAUCAUAGAUUGAUAUCUCGAUUAAUUGACCUAGUCGAUUUCAUGUCAAUUCGACCAUUCUCCGGUCGUUUCAAUCAAUACUACCUAUAAAUCCGAUCAUACCAGGACUGCUUAUUAUAAGCCGAUAAUAAGUAGUAUAGCUCACCAGAAGCGGCCUCAAUUACUGAGAUAAUAUACUAUAGAUUUAUGCUCGCCAAAAGCUGCCUCAAUUCUAGAUAUAGUAUAUUAUAUAUACUCAUCAGAGCUACCACAAUUAUCAAUAUAGUAUACUAUAGCUCACCAGAAGCUGCCACAAUUAUCAAUAUAGUAUACUAUAGCUCACAAGAAGCUGCUAGACAUACUUUUAUAGUAUGCUGAAAAUUAAUCAUUUAAUCAAAUCACAAUUUUUAUCAUUUUUGAUAAAAAUACUCAUGCGUGGUACACGGUCAGCCUUAGCCAAAAUAUUAUAAUUUCCUUUCCACAAAUCACACCAUUAUCUGUAGUCCACCAAAACACUUUUGGUGCUGUCAACCGACACCCGGUUAUUUUCCAAUUAAUAACCAAAGAUUAUUCCAUUAAAGAAUAAUUUCCAAUUUCACAAACAAUUCAAUUUAGCAAAAAAUAAAGCUCAAUUAAAUAAACCGAUUGCACUACGACAAUCAGCAUAAAAUUCCGGUCGUCAGCUAUCCUUGCCUAAUUUCCGAAAAAUAAAUAAAUAAUUAAAUAAUUUCGAAAAUUAAUAAAUAAAUACUAAAAAUCCAAUUUAUGCCCGUAAUGCCUAAUUGAAGCCUGAUAAGUGUCGGGAAAAAUCCUGAGAUGCAUUCAAUAAAUAUUAGCACAUGUUAAUUCGCUAAUUCAACGGUUCAAUUGCCUAAGAUGCAUCAUAAUUAUCUAAUAAUCACUAAUCUAUUCUAACCUAACCACCUAAUUGCACUUAAUUAAAUCUAAUCAACCCUUAAGCAUAAUUAACAAAUUAAGAAAGCAUUAGUGAGCAAAACUCACUCGAUUGAAAGCGAAGACAGGAUCAUUGCAAUGGCAGCGUGACGGCGGCCGAAACCCGAACUUUCGGCAGCGACAACGUACACUUGGGCCGAGCCUAAAACAGGCCCAACAAAUCUCAAUCCAAUAUGAGAUUUUCUUUUGAAUUGGACCGGGCCUAAAGCGGGCUGACUUCGCGGGCUUGGGCCUGAAAAUCGCGGGCUUUUGAAUUGCUGGGCUUGAAGACUUCAACUGGGCUUGCAAAGCAGGCUGCUGGACUCACUUGGACCGAACUCCACUAGCUUGUGGGCUGAAGAGGCUUACACUGGCUGCUGGGCCGAAUUUUCCUAAGCUGAGGCUGAUGAUUCUGUGGGCCUGGAUAUUUGCUGAAGAUGGGCUGCGGCUUACACGAAGAUGGGCUCACGAAAUUCGCUGGAGACGGGGCCGCUUCGGUUCGGUGAGAUGAAGUCAGCUUGAGGAGCGUCGCUGAUCUUUGGUCGCAGCGAAAGGGGCAGGGAACUUCGGACUUCUGGACAGCUCACCAAAACCGAAAGAAGAAGAAGGCAGCUGGCUUCUUCGGUGGACGCUGCUUCAAUCAACAAAACCGAAGGUCUUCGCAGGAGAUGAAAGCAAGCAGAUUCGGUGGGCUUCGGUGCUGCUGGACGCGUGGGCGUGGACUGCAUGCGGUCAACCAAGGGCUUCCAUGGUUGAUGGUUGACCAAGGUGAGCUAGGAAAUUGGCAAGUGGCGUGGGUGAGUGGGGGAGGAUUCGGUGGCCGCUUAAAUGGAGAGAAAAUGAAACUUUGGUGGAGGAAGAAACAAGCUAAGGGGAUGCUGUCGUGAGAGAAAUAAAUGGAGAGAGAGAGAAUUGAAGGGGAUGAAGUUGCGGUCUUCGACGGAAAUGAGGGGAAACGGCAACAAAGAAUAAAAAAGAAAAGGAUCGAAAAGCCGUGAAGAGGAAGCCAAGGAGGG